rnacentral:miRNA from 1 species
UACCUCAAAAUUCCGCAACAGUCUGUUUCAUCAGUAAAGAAUCAUAUGAUGAUACCGCCUGAUGAUUCUUUACUGAUGAAACAGACUGUUGCGGAAUUU